CAUGUCACAGAUCGAGGUUGUAUUGGGUUAUAAAAAUGAGGUUUGAUGGCAAGGACAAAGCGCAUGCACGCACACAGAGGUUUGAUAUCAUCAAAAAAGUAUGUGAUGGUGAUCCAGAACAAUGCUACCUUGAUUAGAUGAAGACUUUUUGCUAUGUCAGCUUUUAUUUUUUAUGCAUAUUUCUCACCUCUAUUUAAUGUUUUUUGCUAGAACACAGGAAAUUCAGCCUGCCUUGCUUUGUGUCUUAAGGUAGAGCUCUACUAUUUUACAGCCUAAAACCAGUUUCCUAUAAAUCUAGACUAGCUUGUUUCCAAGUAUAUGCCUUAUUUUGUGGGCCAUACCUUCUGUCCUGUCUUACAGGCUAGAUAUGGAGAUGUACUUUGGAUAUUUCAAACAUUUCAGCAUCUUUGCAAAGAAACAGACAUCAAGGCCUCCAUCACAGGUUCUAAGAGAAGACAGUGUGUCUUGUGUUAUCAGUGACUUGUACCUAAUCCUGCAAUCAACAGUCCUUUGUAGACUGGCUUGAUAAUGACAUCAGCUACUGUGUCUAAAAUUUACUUCAGAAUUGAGGAGGAAACAGACAAGAAGUUUUCUGAGCCACAAUAAAGCUGAUGUUUAAGUCAGCAAGAUAAGUAUCCUGGCUUGAGAUGGUAUUAGACCAUGGUCCUGCAGAUAAAUUCAGUAGGUCUCAUUCUCUUGCAUUUUCUUUUUCUUUGGUUAAGCUUGAUCUCCUUUGCUUACAUUAUGGAAGAGCGACUCCUUCAUGUGGAGGCAAUGGGAUUGUGUCACUGGGAGGGUAUAAUUUUUGUGGAAAAUCUCACGGCCACUUGGUUUUGCCUGAUGAACAUAAUAAAAAGAAAUGAGUCUUAGUAGUUCUGGGUGUCUUAAAAACAUCCAGCAGAAAUUCCAAGUUAAAGUUAGGCCCUCACCUCUACCCACUUCUGCCAUUUGUGAAGGUGGGAAUGGGCAUGGCUGGGUGAGUGAAUAGGCCUAGUCUGCAGUGCAUUUAAUGAAUAAUUAAGUUACCUGAGGCUUUUAGGGGCUAGCAAAGAGAGGUGUAGUUGAAUGUAGACAACAUGUAAUAGAAUGCUUGCUUGCUGCUGUCACAACCUUUAAAUGUGGCCAGAAGAUGAUGGGACCCUGAUUGGAGCUCUUGAUACUGUUGAACAGUGUUACAGAUGGGACAGCGCAGGGCUCAUGGCGAAGGACCCUAAAUGUAUAGCCCUGGAUUUAUGAGCAGCUUGAAAUUAUGACCAGCUAGUUUUUACUUUUGCGAUACAUUUAAAGGAAGAUUUGGACUUUUCUGACAUUUCAUUGGCUGUGCAUUAUGCCUUGCCCUGAGCACAGUACCUGCAACAGCAGAGGUCUGUGCUGUCCCUGAAACUUCAUGUAGGGUGGCAUCCAUCCCGGGGUGCACACUGUGGAUCUGUCCUGGGAGAUGAGGUGUUCUGUGGGAGUCAAGAGGGAUGGGAGACGCCCAGGGACUCAUCUUGGAACACCUACCUACCUGUUCCUGGCUUGAGUGUUGGGGGAAGCACACUUCAGAAACAUGGAAGUAGCAUACGCCGUUUACUGUUGGCCUUCUUCUGGCUAUAAAGGAUUACAGCACGUUUUCUUCACAGAAUGAUUUCCAUUAGAUAUGUGGUUGGCCGUACUAACUAGAACAUGCCUGAACUUGUCUGCUCUCAGAAAUGAAGUUGGGUGGGAUGGGAAGUAUUUGGAUGGGAGAAAAUAAGAGUUGGUUACUCUUCAGAUUUGACAGUAGUACUAGUCCAGCUCUGCUGGUUUGAAGGUAACCAGUAGUUUCAGGACCUCAGUAAAAAAACAAGUGAAUGUAACCCUCACCAGGUUUCUAAUUUGGUAUUAAUGAGCAAAGAAUGAGUUUCUCAAAUGGAAGAAAAGGACCCGAUUUUCUCUUCCCCAGCAAUGUCCCGUUAAGAGCAAACAAUGGAGAAUGAAGGCUUCUGUUGUGUUACCUCAUGGGUGGAUUAUGAUGUGUUUUUUGGGAAAAAGCUCCCAUAAACCAGGGUAUUAGUCUGGUUUGACCUCUUGACACCCCAAAAAGAGAACUUGUGACUGUCACUGGCAAGCUACAAAGAAGACAAGUGAGGGUAGAGUUCAUACAGUGGUGGUUAGUUUGGGGAUACGUUUAACAUUAGGUGAAAGCCAAGGCUAGUUUAGGGGAGAUGAAUAAUAUCAGUAAAGUGCCAUUUGUCAUGUGGUAGAAACCUUUGAAAAUUUCCAAAUUGGGGGCCCUGAUCAAAUUGUUUAUCAUCACAACCAUUAGUUUUAUGUCACUAGUAAUAAACAUUCUUUGGCCUGAGGGCAUGACAGAGUGGUUUCAGACAGUGAUUGUGCUGAUACUUUGUAAACAGGAGUGCCCUUCUCAUGAAACAGUUGAAUGUUGCAGUGAUAUGCAAUAUGGGAAAUCUGUUCAUGUUCUUUGCAGAGUAUGUCUUGCCGAGAGUCUUAGGGAAUAACCUUGAUUCUUGUGAUCUUGAGGUAGGUGCCAAGAAUUCUUUUUUAUGGGGAUAGUGUGUUGGCUGUAGCUCUGCCUUUGUGUGUGGUGGU